UACGAAGGGGCUAGCGUUGCUCGGAAUCACUGGGCGUAAAGCGCACGUAGGCGGAUUGCUAAGUCAGGGGUGAAAUCCUGGAGCUCAACUCCAGAACUGCCUUUGAUACUGGCGACCUUGAGUCCGGGAGAGGUGAGUGGAACUGCGAGUGUAGAGGUGAAAUUCGUAGAUAUUCGCAAGAACACCAGUGGCGAAGGCGGCUCACUGGCCCGGUACUGACGCUGAGGUGCGAAAGCGUGGGAGCAAACAGG
rnacentral:rRNA from 1 species